UGGUGGAUUUCAGGUCCAAAGAUUGGGCUUUUACUCUGUAGUGUGGGGGUUGGAUCCAGCAGUUAGGACAGUUACUGUGGGUGGAACCUGGCAGUUAGAGGUCCUCAGGGGAAGGGCCUGGCCACUUACAUAGCUUGAGUGGCUUAACGCUCAGUAACUGCUGUUGACUCCAGGUUUACAGUAAAUAUUCUGGUUUGAAGACGCUCUACUGUAGCCAGGACGGCAACUAUAUUUCAGGGAAGUUGAGCUUUCGAAGUCUGUCUGGUUCAUCUCACUUACUGGCAUGGCAUCAGGUUUUUCAUGACAAUGAGAAACAUCUGCUCCUGGCAGCACCAAUUUAUUUCAGAGAUGAUGGGCAUUGAAGAAACUCCAUAUGGAGUUUGCUUUUAUUGUGGCAAUGUUAGCCCCUGGGCAAAGAAACUGUUCUUGCCUUUGACUGCUGGCAAUGUGCUAUGCAUACUGAACGUGAAGGACACACAGGAAAACGACUGUUGAACUUUGCCCAAACAAGGCAGGACAGUCCUUCAAAAUUCCUGCUUCACAGAAGAGUCUGCCAGAUAUUCUGCAGGACACAGAGGAAAGCAACUGACAAACUUUGUCAGUACAAGGCAGAACUGUCCUUCAAAUUUCCUGCUUCACUGAAAAGUUUGCCAGAUAUUCUGGGCCUGUAGGCUGAAGAUGGAUGCCCCAACAUUGCAGAGGAACACUGGGUGACUGUCCAGGCAGCCAAAUGUCUCUGUUGUUAGAUAAUAUUACAUCUUUCUGGGUCUUGGAUGGAGUUGAAGACUAGAUAGUUAUAGUUGCGGUUUUUCUUAGUUAUGAUAGAAAGUAAGUUAGGUGUAAAACUUUGGAUUCACUAAGAUAGGAUAGAUAAUGCAUUAUUUUCUCUGAAUAUGGACAGAAUAUUGUAAAUGUAAUUCU